GAAGAAUUUUAUGAAUUUUUCGAAAAUUUUAUUAAUAGGUUAAAAUCAAAAGAAGAGUUGCAUGUAUGUUCUAACUAUACUGACAUUGCUAGUGGUAGUACUGACCAUUUUAGUUAUACAAAAAACGAUUUACUUACUGAAAAAGAGGCCUCAACAGAAAUGAAUUAUUGUCCUAUGUGCGACCAAGAACAAUUAAAAACAUAUGUUCAAAACAAAAAAUUUAUAUAUAUUAAAAAUAGAUUAUGGAAAGCUAAUAGUGUGUUGUUAACUAAACAAGAUAUACCUUUUAAUAUUUUUUUAUGCAAAUUACCAAAUAUGUAUAAAGUGAAGUAUGAAAAUUUAAUUAGUUUUAGUGGCGUAAAGUUAAAAUUAAGUCAUUCUAAUAUUAUUGAUAUAUUAAAUAAAAUAAUAGACAAAAUACAUAAGAAAAAAAGCAGCGGAUAUAGUGACGUCGCAUGUCAUGGUGUAAGUCAAGUCACAAAUCAAGGCAUAAGUCAAGGCAUAAGUCAAGGCAUAAGUCAAGUCACAAAUCAAGGCAUAAGUCAAGGCAUAAGUCAAAUCACAAAUCAAGGCAUAAGUCAAGGCAUAAGUCAAGGCAUAAGUCAAAGCAUAAGUCAAGGCAUAAGUCAAGGCAUACGUCAAGGCAUAAGUCGAGUCACAAGUAACAAGGGAGAAAACGAAAGUGUCCAUCUAAUCGGUCUACUAAAAGUCUCUUACAUAAAUACAAUAAAUCUUAUUGAUAUAUCAGUUUGUGAUAAACCAUGUAAGGAAAAAAAAAAAGAAGAUAUAUGCACGCAGAAAGAAUUAACUACACCACCACUGAGAGAUCAUGACUUAAAGACUAAAAAAGCAUCAACAACAUGCAUUUGUUUUGAUCGUAUAUAUUUACCAAAUAACAAAUAUGUUUUGAUAAAAAAAGAAGAGUCUAUAUAUAUUUCUAAUGCGUCAGUUUAUAAUAACAGUUUAAAACAAAACAAUAUAAUACAUAAAGAUGUUAAAGAAAAUGUAAUUGACAUAUUAAAUAUAACAAAGAAAGGGAAAGAGAAUAUGAACACAAAAGUUGAUUCAAGGGUUGAUGUUAAGGUUGAUUCAAAAGAAAUAAAACAAAAAUCGUUGCUUAUAAAAAAAGAAAAUUGCAUGACGACAAGAAACAAUAGCAACAUGUAUGAUCAUGCCGAUAGACUAAAUAUUAAGCAGUGUAAAAAAGAAAACAUAAAUAAAAUAAAUAUGCAUAUAAAAGAUAAUAAAAUGAAUAAAAAUACACUAUCUAAAACGAUGAAAAAUGAGAAGAUGAAUAAAACAAUUGCACAUAAAGAUAUAAAUAAAAAAUCAACAAAUUCAAAUGUGGUAGAAAUGAUAAAAAGAAAAAACUUGUUACAAAAACAAAAAGAGAUGUUAGUUUCGAAGAACAUAGUAGGGACGGGUGUGCCAAAAAAAACAAACUUAACCGGAGCUACCGAAGAUCAAUCCCAAACCUCAUCAAAAAGUCGAAACUUAGUAAACCAUCAAACGAGUGCAAAAAAUAA
rnacentral:lncRNA from 1 species